GGAAAUUAAGCAAAAACAGGUUAGCAAGUAAAUAAUCAGAAUGUCUGCUCAACAACCACCCCAAGUCGUAACCACACAACCCGCAAAUGUUGUUGCUGUUGGAGGAUGUCCAUCAUGCGGUGUUGGACGGGUGUCAGAAGAUUUCACAACUAUAGGUAUAAUCCUGGCCAUUUUGUUCUUUCCUCUAGGAAUAUUGUGCUGUUUGAUGAUGAAGGAGAAGAAAUGUGACAGAUGUGGCGCGAAAUUUUAGAACACAAAAA
rnacentral:lncRNA from 1 species